rnacentral:lncRNA from 1 species
UUUAGCACCGGGCCAUCUGGUGCCUCUGUCCCCUUUUGUGUGCCUGCGGGGAGAGGAGGGGAAGUGAAGGGGGAGGAGACAGGAGAUCUCUCUGGCCAGCUUUCUUCUGAAUUGAGGAGAAGGAGGAGUUUGAGACAGAGGGGAGCAGGGCCUGGGAAAGAGGUGGAGGGGACUCUAGGCUUGGGACUUAGGAGGAAAGGAGGAGGGAGACAUGAGAGAUGGGGGGGAGAAAGAAAGCCCAGAAGGAACGGACGCUCUAGGAUCCUGGGUACGAGAGCUCAAAGGGAGAAGAGAGCAGAGAGAGCAAGCCAGAACCAGAAUGCUGUGUGGAGAGGAAAGGGAGUGCUGCAGAAGAGGGAAGAAAAGCACUCAGGAAAGAACGAUGUCCAGGAGUUGAAAGGGGUGCAAGACUCUCUCCAAGUACAAUGUGCUUUGAAGCACCUGUCCCCUGCCGGAUGGCAGAACAUCCCGUGUCUUCCAUCAGGUCCCAAUGGCGUGGCAUGAAUGAUGCAGACACAGGAAUAACAAUAAAAGCAUGUGGCUUUGUGCUUCUCUGGUGCCAUGUUCAUUUGGGCUCACGGUCUGCAUUUGGUGUAGUCACAGAGGACACAGAGAAUGGGCUAUUUUCUCUGCUGAGGACAAUACAGACUGGACUUGGGUUGAAUGCCUGCCUUUCCCUGGCUCUGUUCCUGGAGCCCGCUCAGAGUUGAGCUCCUCUCCCUGCUGAGUUCUUCCAGGCAGUGGCCCCCUCCCUCUACACUCUGGCCCUGAGGUGUGGUUAGCCCAAAAUCUGCC